AUCUGAAAUCAAAGCAUUUUGCUGCAGAGUUCCCUGGUGGGCUAGUGGUUAGUAUUCAGCGCUGUCACUGCCGUGGCCUGGGUUUGAUCCCUGGUCGGGGAACUGAGAUCC